CCUUUACGGCCGUCGCGAAAGUGUCGCGAACGCGCUGCCGCCCAUCAGAGUCACCCAGUCGGCUGGAGUCGGAGUUAUCAAUACUCGGGGUGUGCCUGCUGGGUUCUGGGUAAAGACCAGCCACAAAAAGCUGUAAAGCAAGAUAAAUUAUUCUCUCCGAAUAAAAGAAAGCCCGAGUCCAUGAGUGGCCAGCGGUCGUCCAAGAAACGAUGUGGGGACGCGCGCGCGGAGUCCCCCGUGGGCUUCGGGCACAUGAGUACUCCAGGGUGUGUGUUAAACAAGUUGUUUCAGCUGCCCACGCCACCGCUGUCCAGGCACCAGCUCAAGCGGCUGGAAGAGCACAGAUACCAGAGUGCCGGGCGGUCCCUGCUGGAGCCCCUGAUGCAGGGGUACUGGGAGUGGCUCGUGGGAAGAGUCCCCUCCUGGAUCGCCCCGAACCUCAUCACCAUCAUCGGGCUGUCCAUAAACAUCUGCACGACAGUCUUAUUAGUCUUUUACUGCCCUACAGCUACAGAGCAGGCACCUCUGUGGGCAUACAUUGCCUGUGCGUGUGGCCUUUUCAUCUACCAGUCUUUGGAUGCCAUAGACGGAAAACAGGCGAGAAGAACCAAUAGUAGUACUCCUUUGGGAGAACUUUUUGAUCAUGGUUGUGAUUCACUAUCAACAGUGUUUGUGGUUCUUGGAACUUGUAUUGCGGUGCAACUGGGGACAAAUCCCGAUUGGAUGUUCUUUUGUUGUUUUGCUGGGACGUUCAUGUUCUAUUGUGCGCACUGGCAAACAUAUGUUUCUGGAACAUUGCGAUUUGGAAUGCUACUUCAUAUAUCCAGCAAAAUGUUGUAAGAUGUCUGCCCUCCACCCGAGACAAAGCCGAUCGUCUCUGACACCUGCUUAGCCUCCUGAGUCUGCUACUGAGUGUAAUUUUCCUUAUUGGCAACACCACUCACCAGAAUUGAUGUGACUGAAGUGCAAAUCUUCAUAAUAAUCAUGCAUUUGCUGGCAGUGAUUGGAGGACCACCUUUUUGGCAAUCUAUGAUUCCAGUGCUGAAUAUUCAAGUGAAAAUUUUUCCUGCACUUUGUACUGUCGCAGGGACCAUAUUUUCCUGUACGAAUUAUUUCCGUGUAAUCUUCACAGGUGGUGUUGGGAAAAACGGAUCAACGAUAGCAGGAACAAGUGUCCUUUCUCCUUUUCUCCACAUUGGAUCCGUGAUCACAUUAGCUGUGAUGAUCUACAAGAAAUCCGCAGUCCAGCUUUUUGAAAAGCAUCCCUGUCUUUAUAUACUGACAUUUGGUUUUGUAUCUGCUAAAAUCACCAAUAAGCUUGUGGUGGCGCACAUGACAAAGAGUGAAAUGCAUUUGCACGACACAGCCUUCAUAGGCCCAGCACUUCUGUUUCUGGAUCAAUAUUUCAACAGCUUUAUCGAUGAAUAUAUUGUGCUUUGGAUUGCCCUGGUCUUCUCUUUCUUUGAUUUGAUCCGCUACUGUGUCAGCGUCUGCAAUCAGAUCGCAUCUCACCUGCACAUACACGUCUUCAGAAUCAAGGUCUCUACAGCUCACUCGAACCAUCACUAGUGAUGGCGUCGGUGUGGUAUAGGAAACUCGUGCUUUCUGCAGGAAAGAAUCUGAACAUAUUAAUGAGAGUGGGGAGGACAAGAACAAGUAUAAUUUAUAAUAAUCAACGUGGUAUAACUUUUAUCCUUUGUUACUGGUAACACUCCUUAACGAUCCUCUGUGAGAAUGGGAGUUUCGAGUCCUGUCCUGUAUAUUGUACAUGUUGAUGUACAGAUUUUGGCCAAGCGAGUGUGCGGGGAACAAUGCCAUGUGCUUGUAAGCUCUCCUGGAUUCAGAAUAAAAUUGUCAUGGGGGGCUGAUCCCCUGCAGUGGAGAUUUCUUAGGUAGAAUAUUUGCAGGCCAAAAGACGGUUGCUUUAUAAUUUUAACAAAUCAUCAUCGUUUAGUGACAUCUUUGAUUCAUGUCUUCUCAAGCUUUCUUUGCAAAGGAGCUCAGCUCAGGAGCAGAUGUACCCCACUGGCGUGUGAGGGGGAGCUAGUGACCAACACCCGGAAUUCGGAGGGAAAGGUUUCCUAUCUUGACAUCGCUGAGGAAGUCAUUUUUUUAUUGCUCAAGAAAUGGAGUGUCUCGUGGGCUGGGACCCUGUCAGCAUGCGGAAUAAUGUACCUUUGUCGAUUCAUUUUAUUUUUUUAAAUAAAUAUAUGAUCUGAAAGCCA